rnacentral:rRNA from 1 species
AAACGAUUGAAGUCAGUCGUGUUCAUUGGAUAAAGCCGGUCUUCGGUGUACUUCCUUUGAACGGGUCAACAUCAGUUUUGUUCGGUGGAUAAAGGCAGUAGGAAUGUGGCUCCCUCGGGAGUGUUAUAGCCUAUUGUCACAUACACUGGAGGAGACUGAGGACUGCAGCUCGCCUUUAUGGCCGGGGUUCGCCCACGUUCGAGCUUAGGAUGUUGACAUAAUGGCUUUAAACGA